AGAGGCCUCAAGCGUUGUUCGGAAUCACUGGGCGUAAAGGGUGCGUAGGCGGCGCGGAAAGUCAGGGGUGAAAUCCCGGAGCUCAACUCCGGAACUGCCUUUGAUACUCCCGCGCUUGAGAACUGGAGGGGACAUCGGAAUUCACGGUGGAGCAGUGAAAUGCGUGGAUAUCGUGAGGAACACUAGUGGCGAAGGCGGAUGUCUGGACAGUAUCUGACGCUGAGGCACGAAGGCCAGGGGAGCGAACGGGAUUAGAUACCCCGGUAGUCCUGGCAGUAAACGGUGCACGCUUGGUAUGGGGGGAAUCGACCCCUCCCGUGCCGGAGCUAACGCGUUAAGCGUGCCGCCUGGGAAGUACGGUCGCAAGAUUA
rnacentral:rRNA from 1 species